CAUGGUUUUGACCCAACCAACAAAUCCGGCAAUAUAGCUCAAUGGAACCCCAGAAAUCUCAAACACAGUAGCUUACAUGGCAAGGACUCGACAAAAGAACAGCCCCAAUAAAGCAGAAAGACGGUGAAUCCAGGGCUUAGAAGCACUUCCGGUGAACAAUUGCUGGGCCUGACUCAUCAUACUCACCCUUCGAGAUCCACAUCUGCCAUAUAAACAUCAGAGCAUACUGUUAGUAUACUGACAAAAAUAAAGCAUAGUGCAACUACUGCAACAUAGGAAAAUCUGAUAGUUGAGCAACAGAGAAGUGUAAAUCUUGACCUGUUGGAAGGUGCUAAGGGAGGCAAGGAUGGACCCUCCAAUCCAGACACUGUAUUUCCUCUCAGGUGGUGCCACCACCUUAAUCUUCAUACUGCUUGGUGCAAGGGCAGUGAUCUCCUUGCUCAUGCGGUCAGCAAUACCAGGGAACAUGGUUGAGCCACCGCUGAGCACAAUGUUACCAUAGAGGUCCUUCCUAAUAUCCACAUCACACUUCAUGAUAGAGUUGUAGGUGGUCUCAUGGAUUCCAGGCGACUCCAUACCAAUGAAUGAAGGCUGGAAAAGGACCUCAGGGCAUCUGAACCUCUCUGCCCCGAUGGUGAUCACCUGCCCAUCAGGCAGCUCAUAGCUCUUCUCCACAGAGGAGCUGGUCUUAGCAGUCUCAAGCUCCUGCUCAUAGUCAAGUGCCACAUAGGCGAGCUUCUCCUUGAUGUCCCUUACAAUUUCCCGCUCGGCAGUGGUGGUGAAGGAGUAACCCCUCUCAGUAAGAAUCUUCAUCAGACUGUCAGUGAGAUCACGUCCAGCAAGGUCAAGACGGAGAAUGGCGUGCGGAAGGGCAUAACCUUCAUAGAUUGGCACGGUAUGGCUCACACCAUCACCAGAGUCCAACACGAUACCUGCAGGAACAACAACAUACUACCAGCUGAGAUGGAAGAACCUUAUACAUUUCAAAAUGCACUUUCAUGAAAAUGGAUAAUCACUUGCACACCUGUUGUGCGUCCACUGGCGUAGAGGGAAAGCACAGCCUGAAUGGCGACAUACAUGGCCGGCACAUUGAAUGUCUCAAACAUGAUCUGGGUCAUCUUCUCCCUGUUAGCCUUGGGGUUCAGGGGGGCCUCGGUCAGCAGCACUGGGUGCUCCUCGGGCGCGACACGGAGCUCGUUGUAGAAGGUGUGAUGCCAAAUCUUCUCCAUGUCGUCCCAGUUGCUGACGAUACCGUGCUCGAUCGGGUACUUCAGGGUGAGGAUACCCCUCUUGGACUGGGCCUCAUCGCCAACAUAGGCGUCCUUCUGCCCCAUUCCCACCAUCACGCCGGUGUGGCGCGGGCGUCCAACAAUACUCGGGAAGACAGCCCUCGGCGCAUCAUCCCCUGCGAAACCGGCCU
rnacentral:lncRNA from 1 species